AUUGAACGCUGGCGGCAUGCCUUACACAUGCAAGUCGAACGGCUGCGCGGGAGCAAUCCUGGCGGCGAGUGGCGAACGGGUGAGUAAUAUAUCGGAACGCGCCCAUUAGUGGGGGAUAGCCCGGCGAAAGCCGGAUUAAUACCGCAUACGACCUGAGGGUGAAAGCGGGGGAUCGCAAGACCUCGCGCUAUUGGAGCGGCCGAUAGCAGAUUAGCUAGUUGGUGGGGUAAAGGCCUACCAAGGCAACGAUCUGUAGUUGGUCUGAGAGGACGACCAGCCACACUGGGACUGAGACACGGCCCAGACUCCUACGGGAGGCAGCAGUGGGGAAUUUUGGACAAUGGGCGCAAGCCUGAUCCAGCAAUGCCGCGUGCAGGAAGAAGGCCUUCGGGUUGUAAACUGCUUUUGUCAGGGAAGAAAUCCUUUGGGCUAAUACCUCGGAGGGAUGACGGUACCUGAAGAAUAAGCACCGGCUAACUACGUGCCAGCCGCCGCCGUAA
rnacentral:rRNA from 1 species